rnacentral:piRNA from 1 species
UACAAAGUGACUUCCAGGACAGCCAGAGC